GGGGCUAUAACUCAAUGGGAGAGUGUCUGCCUUGCACGCAGAAGGUUGAGGGUUCAAAUCCCUCUAGUUCCACCA
rnacentral:tRNA from 2 species